AAAGAGACAUGACAUACGACAUAACACAAACAGCACAUCUCCACACACCAUGGGAACAGAAAUCACCAUGGAGACAAAUCAACAAACACUUAGAUGUAUGAUCUUCUUAGCAGUUGUAUUUAUUUUAGAGCUACAGUGCAAUUAAACUGUGUUGUAAAAUGUA